rnacentral:rRNA from 1 species
GACGAACGCUGGCGGCGUGCUUAACACAUGCGAGUCGAACGGAAAGGCCCCCAUCUUGGUGGGGGUGCUCGAGUGGCGAACGGGUGAGUAACACGUGGGUGAUCUGCCCUGUACUUCGGGAUAAGCUUGGGAAACUGGGUCUAAUACCGGAUAGGACCAUGGUUUAGUGUCUCAUGGUGGAAAGAUUAUUGUUUUGGUGCAGGAUGAGCUCGCGGCCUAUCAGCUUGUUGGUGGGGUAAUGGCCUACCAAGGCGUCGACGGGUAGCCGGCCUGAGAGGGUGGACGGCCACAUUGGGACUGAGAUACGGCCCAGACUCCUACGGGAGGCAGCAGUGGGGAAUAUUGCACAAUGGGCGCAAGCCUGAUGCAGCGACGCCGCGUGGGGGAUGACGGCCUUCGGGUUAUAAACUCCUUUCGUUAGGGACGAAGCCGCACUUUUUUUGGGUGUGGUGACGGUACCUUUGUUAAGAAGCACCGGCUAACUACGUG